rnacentral:rRNA from 1 species
UACGUAGGGGGCAAGCGUUGUCCGGAAUCAUUGGGCGUAAAGCGCGUGUAGGCGGUCCGGUAAGUCCGCUGUGAAAGUCGGGGGGCUCAACCCUCGAAUGCCGGUGGAUACUGUCGGGCUAGAGUGCGGAAGAGGCGAGUGGAAUUCCUGGUGUAGCGGUGAAAUGCGCAGAUAUCAGGAGGAACACCAAUUGCGAAGGCAGCUCGCUGGGACGUUACUGACGCUGAGACGCGAAAGCGUGGGGAGCAAACAGG